GCCAGCCGCCGCGGUAACACCGGCGGCCCGAGUGGUGAUCGUGAUUAUUGGGUCUAAAGGGUCCGUAGCCGGUUUGGUCAGUCCUCCGGGAAAUCUGAUAGCUCAACUAUUAGGCUUUCGGGGGAUACUGCCAGACUUGGAACCGGGAGAGGUAAGAGGUACUACAGGGGUAGGAGUGAAAUCUUGUAAUCCCUGUGGGACCACCUGUGGCGAAGGCGUCUUACCAGAACGGGUUCGACGGUGAGGGACGAAAGCUGGGGGCACGAACCGGAUUAGAUACCCGGGUAGUCCCAGCCGUAAACGAUGCUCGCUAGGUGUCAGGCAUGGCGCGACCGUGUCUGGUGCCGCAGGGAAGCCGUGAAGCGAGCCACCUGGGAAGUACGGCCGCAGGGCUGAAACUUAAAGGAAUUGGCGGGGGAGCACAACAACGGGUGGAAGCCUGCGGUUUAAUUGGACUCAACGCCGGACAACUCACCGGGGGCGACAGCAAUAUGUAGGCCAAGCUGAAGACUUUGCCUGAAUCGCUGAGAAGAGGUGCAUGG
rnacentral:rRNA from 1 species